CGUGUACUGAACGACUUCCUGCGUCUGAUACACAUGGCGUUAUCUUCGUUCCCAGAGCCUUUAGGUCUACUGCGCGGUACGAGAUUAUAAGAGCGACCUGACGUGUCUUCGAAUUGAUCAAAAGCUGCUGAAGUCGUUGGUGGUAAAAGCAAAAAUUUCAAGCAAGGCUUUCCAGGUAAAUGUGAGUUUUGAUAAAUAUAAAUAAUUUUAUGUAAUAUCAGGCUAGACGAAUUCAUGCAGCAGUUAUGAUAGAGUGUUGAUCAGUCUGUAGAAAGGUUUAUGUACAUGGAAUUUUAAAGCGAAAUUUUGUACACAUAGCUUAGACCUAACAACAUGCAAGAAUAGGCCUACGAUAGGAAGCAAUUAUACGUUUUUUGCGGGAAUCAUAAUCGGCAAAGGGUCAUAGGCCUUCCAGCAGGAAUCGAAUAUGGGGCCUACUGUAUUGUCACUAAACUAACAGAGAUAUGAGACUGAUUGUAUAUCUUGUUUCCAAUUCGUCGUGGACGAAGGAGCUUUCGAAUUGCAGCUCACCCCCAGUCAGUGUGGUCCAGUUAAAUUAAGCAGCUGACAUUUAAAAAUCGAGCAAAUUGUUAGGCCAAACCAGAGAAAAUGAAUUACAAGUUGACAUUUGUGUUUAUUAAAAUAAAAUUUCAUACAAUAGAGCACGGUAUCUUAACAGAAGGGCGAUGUAUUUUAACAUUUUUAUUGGAGGCUGCGUGGCCAAGAUUUCUCCCGUCCCCAUGUUACCCCAGCAAGACUGACAUCAGAUGUGUGGCACUGCUGUUAUGACUCCAUUACUUAUCAAACCUUGUUUUUAUACUCAAAACUCAGUUUAUAUGUUGAAUAUAAUAUAAAAAGUACUGUUUGAGAAUGCAGGAAAUUAAGCUAAGCUCCAUAAACUCAAAAAUAGGAAAAUGUUCUGGGAGUGAAUCCCAUACCCCCUCCUCUUAAGGACUGGCACCUGUACAAUUCAACAUCUUUUAUCUGGACUUUAAAAAUAAUUUUACGACAAUAACUUGCAUGUGUGUCAAUAGACACAUAUUUUUUAUUUGCUUGGGACGUUGUUUUACAAAACAGUAAAGUGAAUACCGCAUUGCAUGAUAAGCAAGUUGAAACUUCUAGAACAGAAAAACCCGAAUCGUAAUCAAGAUUAGAUUGGCUAAUAUUAAUAGCCCAAUUUAUUUGUUAAUAAUAAUUUUUGCUUCUUUUUCUACAGUUCCAGACAAGAUGCACACAAUUGUACAACUAUUCUUAAUAUCACUUGCCUGCCUCGCAAUUUCCGCUCAUAUUAAAAAAAAAUCGUAUACCCUGAAAGUCACUGAAGAUGUGUGUUUGGAACGAGGCUCCAGCAAUUACAACUACCUUCCAUACCUCCUCAUUGGAACCCAUCCUGGAUACCCAUUGAAAAGAAGUUUACUGAAAUUCCAGAACAUCCCAUGCGAAUGCACCUUUCCUUUAAAGGCAACCCUGCAUAUCUAUUUCGUAUAUGCUCAUAAGGCGAGCUUUAUGUCCGUCGCUCAAGUCCCUGCUGUAAAAAGAUACCUAGUAGCGUAUACUGUACUCAAGUCAUGGACCGAAUCGCAAGCGACUAGCACGAAACGAAAUAAGUGGGCCAGGUGGGACAACCAAUGGUUGAAAUUGGGCACGGACGCAGAAUCACUCGCAACCUCUUCUACCACUGUGACACCGACACCAGG